GCGGCCGUCGUCUAGUCUGGUUUAGGACACAGGCCUUCCAAGCCUGUGAUCCCGGGUUCAAAUCCCGGCGGCCGCACCA
rnacentral:tRNA from 1 species